AUGGUGGUACAUAGUACUGAGGCUGCUAAUCUCUGUCUGAAUGACAGGCUGGUGGAGUUAAACGGAGUGAGCUUCUUGGGGAGCAGUGAGGAUAAGCUGGAGCUGCUGCUUAAGACACCCACUGCUCACAUCAUUGUUCCUUGCCAGCUGGCCAAAGAACUUCCACAGGAAGGCCCUUCUGCCCCCGACUUCAGACAGACUUCAGCUCUGAGGGAUCAUCAGGACAUAGAAGUGCUUCAGAAACACCAAGCAAUGUAAACCAAAUAAACACUUUAAAGUUUAACA
ensembl:lncRNA